AUGAAAACUUGGUUCAUUUCCUGUCACGAGAUUGCAACGGUCAGCGUUAUGAUCUUUACCCCCUGCAUCUCCAGAAGCCUUUUAAAUAUGCGUAAGGAUUAUUUGUUCCAGAGUUCUGCAUUUAUUCCUAAUUUUUUUAUUUUGUAUUGAA